rnacentral:rRNA from 1 species
AUUGAACGCUGGCGGCAUGCUUUACACAUGCCAGUCGAACGGUAACAGGUCUUCGGAUGCUGACGAGUGGCGAACGGGUGAGUAAUACAUCGGAACGUGCCUAGUAGUGGGGGAUAACUACUCGAAAGAGUAGCUAAUACCGCAUGAGAUCUACGGAUGAAAGCAGGGGACCUUCGGGCCUUGUGCUACUAGAGCGGCUGAUGGCAGAUUAGGUAGUUGGUGGGGUAAAGGCUUACCAAGCCUGCGAUCUGUAGCUGGUCUGAGAGGACGACCAGCCACACUGGGACUGAGACACGGCCCAGACUCCUACGGGAGGCAGCAGUGGGGAAUUUUGGACAAUGGGCGAAAGCCUGAUCCAGCAAUGCCGCGUGCAGGAUGAAGGCCCUCGGGUUGUAAACUGCUUUUGUACGGAACGAAAAGCCUGGGGCUAAUAUCCCCGGGUCAUGACGGUACCGUAAGAAUAAGCACCGGCUAACUACGUG